CGGGGCGUAGCGCAGUUGGCUAGCGCACUUGUAUGGGGUACAAGAGGUCACAGGUUCAAGUCCUGUCGCCCCGA
rnacentral:tRNA from 1 species